rnacentral:rRNA from 1 species
UACGUAGGGUCCGAGCGUUGUCCGGAAUUAUUGGGCGUAAAGGGCUCGUAGGCGGUCUGUUGCGUCGGGGAGUGAAAACUUACAGCUUAACUGUGAGCGUGCUUUCGAUACGGGCAGACUUGAGGCAUUCAGGGGAGAACGGAAUUCCUGGUGUAGCGGUGAAAUGCGCAGAGAUCGGGAGGAACACCAAUGGCGAAAGCAGGUACCUGGACCAUUACUGACACUCAGCUGCGAAAGCUAGGGGAGCAAACAGG